UUUAACUUGCACCCAAACAGUAUAGAAAUCCCACAAACUAUGUGCACAACUCCCCCUGUAUUCUCCAUGGCCUCUCCCAGAACCUAUAAAUGGUGUCUGGACCCCCGGGGAUGCAUUUGUCCAAACACCCUGGAGAGGACACAGAAAAGACAGACAACCACCCCAAUUGCUAAUGGAGAGCAGCUGUGGAGAGCCUUGAACAAAGGGCUACAUGCUAAUUAUUAAAAUACCCAAUAAAUAUUCAAUAAAUAUUUUAAAAACCU